rnacentral:tRNA from 1 species
UGAGUUGUAGCUCAGUGGUAGAGCACUUGCCUAGCACAUGUGAGGCCCUGGGUUCAAUCCUCAGCACCACAU